rnacentral:rRNA from 1 species
CGGUGCCUUCCGAGUUCCCUGGAACGGGACGCCUUACAGGGUGAGAGCCCCGUACGGUUGGACACCAAGCCUCUGUAAAGCUCCUUCGACGAGUCGAGUAGUUUGGGAAUGCUGCUCUAAAUGGGAGGUAAAUUUCUUCUAAAGCUAAAUAUUGGCCAGAGACCGAUAGCGCACAAGUAGAGUGAUCGAAAGAUGAAAAGCACUUUGAAAAGAGGGUUAAACAGCACGUGAAAUUGUUGAAAGGGAAGCGUUUGCGACCAGACCUUCUCCUGGCGGAUCAUCCGGUGGUUUCCACCGGUGCACUUCGCCAGGUCGAGGCCAGCAUCGGUCUUUGUAGGGGGAUAAAAGCUCAGGGAACGUAGCUCCUCCGGGAGUGUUAUAGCCCUCCGCAUAAUACCCUUACGGGGACCGAGGACCGCGCCUUCGGGCAAGGAUGCUGGCGUAAUGGUUGUCAACGACCCGUCUUGAAACACGGACCAAGGAGUCGAACAUUUGUGCGAGUGUUUGGGUGUUAAACCCUCACGCGUAAUGAAAGUGAACGGAGGUGAGAGCCCUUACGGGUGCAUCAUCGACCGAUCCUGAUGUCUUCGGAUGGAUUUGAGUAAGAGCAUAACUGUUCGGACCCGAAAGAUGGUGAACUAUGCGUGGAUAGGGUGAAGCCAGAGGAAACUCUGGUGGAGGCUCGCAGCGGUUCUGACGUGCAAAUCGAUCGUCAAAUCUGCGCAUGGGGGCGAAAGACUUAUCGA